GCUGUCAUAGCUCAAUGGUAGAGCACAGCCCAUUUAAGGCUGGCUAUCGCUGGUGACACCACACGGAACGGGAUGUGCUUACUUCCUAACCAAUGAGCACAUGAACGUGUGGGUGCCGGUUCAAAUCCGGCUGGCAGCUCCA
rnacentral:tRNA from 1 species